AAUCCAUAGGUUAAUGAGGCGAACCGGGGGAACUGAAACAUCUAAGUACCCCGAGGAAAAGAAAUCAACCGAGAUUCCCCCAGUAGCGGCGAGCGAACGGGGAGGAGCCCAGAGCCUGAAUCAGCAUGUGUGUUAGUGGAAGCGUCUGGAAAGGCGCGCGAUACAGGGUGACAGCCCCGUACACAAAAGCGCAUGUGCUGUGAGCUCGAUGAGUAGGGCGGGACACGUGGUAUCCUGUCUGAAUAUGGGGGGACCAUCCUCCAAGGCUAAAUACUCCUGACUGACCGAUAGUGAACCAGUACCGUGAGGGAAAGGCGAAAAGAACCCCGGCGAGGGGAGUGAAAAAGAACCUGAAACCGUGUACGU
rnacentral:rRNA from 9 species